UACAGAGGGUGCAAGCGUUGCUCGGAAUUACUGGGCGUAAAGGGCGCGUAGGCGGCACUGUUAGUCAGACGUGAAAGUCCUGGGCUCAACCUGGGAACUGCGCUUGAUACGGCAGAGCUAGAGGAUGGAAGAGGCUCGCGGAAUUCCCAGUGUAGAGGUGAAAUUCGUAGAUAUUGGGAAGAACACCGGUGGCGAAGGCGGCGAGCUGGUCCAUUACUGACGCUGAGGCGCGACAGCGUGGGGAGCAAACAGG
rnacentral:rRNA from 1 species